rnacentral:tRNA from 1 species
GGAAGGUUGGCCGAGUGGUUUAUGGCACCCGCCUGAUAAGCGGGCACAGGCGAAAGUCUGUCACGGGUUCGAAUCCCGUACCUUAUU